AUAGGAAAACACAAACUUCUUCUCUCUGCCAUUCUUUAUUGUUGAUGCAACCCUAGGAUCUCCUCUCUUAUCACUUGCUUCAUUCUAUUUCUCAGUAUGCCUCAUGCCCAUAUUAUUUAAAUGACUUGAUAAGAUGGAGAUAUUUCAUCUAUGGGGUGGAAAAUCCAAUCUGUUCACUUUGCAGCAUUCUUCUUAAAUCUUUUGAUGAACUCAUUGUAUUAUAUUUUUAUAGUCAUCAAAAUUUAGCUUAGAAAUUAAAAAUGAAGAUGCAUUUAUUUUUAAAAAGCGAAUCUCACAGAAGGUAGUCUACUCACACAAAUGGACUAUGCACUUGAAAAAAUAGAUUAAGGCACAAUCUGAGUUGUAUCAAUUGGUGAUAGCUUUUUACUGUAAUUUAUACAUGUUUAGCAGUUUGGUUAAAAAAAUAAACGAUAUUGUUUGACAGCCUGGAUUUGAAUUAUUGAUCCACAAUUACAUAGGUAUAUUAUCUUUGGCAGGCUUUUUAUCCACUUCAUGCCUCUGUCUCCUGUUUUAAGUAAUGAGACCAAUGACAGUAACUAACUCAAAGAAUUGUGAGGAUUAACUAAGUUAAUAUCUGUAAAGUAUAUACAAGAGUACCUGGGUCGUAAUUGACACUAAAUGUUUUUUCUCUUAUUAUGCAACAUAUUAGAAUGCAUCCCAAGUUAUUGAUGUUAUCAUUUGAAAAAUUAACUGUAUUAAAAUACAUUUUUAAUACAAUAAUAAAAACUCACGAUAUAUAGUGUGAAAACUCUAAAUAGCUUAACUUUAGUCUUUGAAAAGGUUAAAUUCAUUCUGAAAAGUGACAGUUGGAAAUGAGCUUUGAAAAUAAAAGUGUGUUCAAUGAUUACUGUCAAAAAACAUUAUUGAACAUUAAUUUGCACAUAGUAUUGGAGUUCUAUGAAUUACAAUUAGAAGUUUCAAGUUAUUUGGAGACAUCCUAUUAAAGCAUUUUACUUUCUUUUGAAGUACUGCCUAAAGAUGGUUUCUGUAAGGUUUUAAAAUAUUUUAUCAAUAUAAAAUAUAUUUUGAACUAAAAUAUGAGGGAAUUACAAUAAACAUAAUUGCAUAGUAGAUGUCUGAGAAAAGAUGAUGAUCAUAAUGAUAAUGAUGAUGAUAAUGAUAGUAAAAUGAUAUUAAUGUAAAUACCAUAAUUAUUUUCAUUUUGAUUAUGAAGAAUAAACUGGUGUGGCUCAGCUUUCUAGUUAAGGUAACUGUGAGUGGUAGAAAUAAUAAUACAAAUGGUGUAUUACUUCAAAAACACUUGGUUAAUAUUUAUUAUGAGUUAGUGUUUGAGGGAAAAGAGAUGUUAAAUAAAUAUAAGGGGAAAUAAUAGUACACACAUUAGAAGAAGGAAGGAAGGAAGCAAGGAAGGGAGGAAGGAAGCCAGGAAGAGAGAGAGGAAGGGAGGGAGGGAAGAAGGAAGGACGCAAGGAAGGAAGGAAGGAAAGGAGGAGGGAAGGAAAGGAGGAAGGAAGGAAGGAAAGGAGGAAGGAAGGAAGGAAAGGAAGGAAGGGAGGAAGGAAGGAAAGGAGGAAGGAAGGAAGGAAAGGAGGAAGGAAGGAAGGAAAGGAAGGAAGGGAGGAAGGAAGGAAAGGAGGAAGGAAGGAAGGAAAGGAGGAAGGAACGAGAGGAGGAAGGAAGGAAAGGAAGGAAGGAAAGGAGGAAGGAAGGAAAGGAGGAAGGAAGGAAGGAAAGGAAGGAAGGGAGGAAGGAAGGAAGGAAAGGAGGAAGGAACGGAGGAAGGGAGGGAUGUUUUAAUGAAAGAAGGAAGGAAGGGAGGAAGCAAGGAAAUGUGGAAGGAAGGAAGGAAAGGAAGGAAGGGAGGAAGGAAGGAAAGGAGGAAGGAAGGAAGGAAAGGAAGGAAGGAAGGAAGGAAGGAAAGGAGGAAGGAAGGAAGGAAAGGAGGAAGGAAGGAAGGAAAGGAGGAAGGAAGGGAGGAAGGAAGGAAAGAAGGAAGGAAGGAAAGGAGGAAGGAAGGGAGGAAGGGAGGGAGGAAGGAAGGAAAGAAGGAAGGAAGGGAGGAAGGAAGGAAGGGAGGGAGGGAGGAAGGAAGGAAGGAAGAAAGGAAGGAAGGAAGGAAGGAAAAGCUUUCCUAUUCGUAACAUGAACAUUUUUGUCUAUGAAAAACUCUAUUUAGUCUGGAUGGGGAGGAGUGAUUCCAAUAAAUCUGUAAAUGUAUAGUGAAUAUUUAUUUGAUAACAAAAAUAGUUCUAUUACUAAGUAUUCAAAUAAAACUGAUAAACGCAUUGUGACUUAACUUAGAAGUUUCUGACUGUAAAGUUGAAUCCUAGGAUACAAGGUAAGGAGAAUGUCAUCUGUGAUCCUGCAGGCUGAUAUCAAAAGGCUUGAACUGUGCAGCUCUUUAGAGCAAACGAUUAUCUGAUCCUGGAUGUCUAUCAUUUCUCAAGCCAUCAUUCUAUGUAAUGAGUUCUAAUUUAGAACUGAAGUAUUAAUAGUUCAUUCAAGUGUGAUUUUAUCAUUGUGAAGGCUUGAGGCCUCAGAUUUGCUUAAUUCUUAAAUUAUAUUUAAAGCUAGAAUUGUAUAUUUUAUAGAUAGAACAAAUCGAUAAAUAAAAAACAAAUAUGUGAUAUCUUCACAUCUGUUGAAGGUUUGUGAUGUCACAGGUGUAAAAUCUCUGAAAGGUUGUUUUAAUAAAUAGUAUUUUAUUACAGGGUCAGGAGAGACAUCAGCAACAAAGAAAACACAUAGUUAUAAAUAGCAGGUGUGGCCGGGCAUGGUGGCUCAUGCCUGUAUCCCAGCACUUUGGCAGGCCGACGGGGGUGGAUCAUGAGGUCAGGAGUUCAAGACCAGCCUGACCAAGAUGGUGAAACCCCGUCUGUACUAAAAAUACAAAAAUUAGCCAGGUGUGAUGGCACGUGCCUGUAAUCCCAGCUACUGGGGAGGCUGAGGCAGGAGAAUUGCUUAAACCCAGGAGGCGGAGCUUGCAGUGAGCCAGGAUCACGCCACUGCACUCCAGCCUGGGCAACAAAGCGAGACUCUGUCUCAAAAUAAAUAAAUAAAUACAUACAUACAUACAUACAUACAUAAAUACAUAAAUAAAAUAAAAUAAAUAAAGUAAAUAGCAGG
rnacentral:lncRNA from 1 species